AGGGGAAAGCAUUUGAAAUGUAAAUAAAGAAAAUAUCUAAUAAAAAGAUAAAAAUUAAAAAAUUUAAAGAUUAUAUUGCUCUAUCUUCCUCAUUCUUGCAGAAUUAGCAAGUGGUGGAAUGUAAUUGCAUAAUGAGGCAUAAGUUUCAUGAAGACAUUGACAGGUUUAAUAAUGGUGUGAUUUUUAAAGGUAAAAACACUAACUUUUAAAUAAAGAUAUAUAUUAAUGCUUAAAUACCUAAUAGCCAAACUGAGUAAUAAUGGGGUAAUUUUUACCUACAUAAUAAAAUGUAUAGUAUAUACAUUUUAUGUAUAUAUAUGUUUUUAUAAACUCAGUAUUUAUGUGCCUAUAAAAAGGCUGGUGAAUAUUUUCAGAAUUCCAAUAUUUAAUCUAUAUUUUUUUACAUAGUUUAGUUUUUUUUGUUAUAGUUUAUUAUAUUUAAAAGCAAGUUUCCUGGGACUGGAGAGGUGACUCAGUCAUUAACAGCACUAGUUGCUUUUUAGAGGACCAUGUUUAGCUCGUAGGACCCCCACAUACUUCACAACCAUUCCUAAUUUCAAUCCCAAGAGAUCUUAUUCACUAUUCUGAUUUAUGCAGGCACCAGGCCCCAGGCCCCAUAGCAGUGCAACUCCAUACAUAUAGGCAAAACACUCAUACACAUAAAAAUACAAAAUUAUGUAUUUUUAAACACUUAGAAGGAAGUUUCCUACUUCACAAUAGCUGUUCAAAGGUAUUAUGGGUUUUAAAGGUUGAUAUGUAAAGUGAUCUUCAUUAAAGUUUACUAAAAUAUUAUGACCUUCCCUUUUAUUAUCAAGUGCCAAUUUAUGUGUAUGUGUGUGGUAUGCAUGUUUGUUAUGUUGGGAUGCAUUCACAUGGCUGUACAUUGAUGUGGAGGUCUGAGGCUGAUGUCGGGUUAUCCUCAUUCAUUCAUCCAGCUUACUAGUGAGGUAACCUCUCUCAUUCAAUUAUCAGGCCUGCCUGAUGUGGUUCAUGUUCUUAACCAGCUCACUCUGGGCAUCAAGUAUAUCUUUCGUCAGAGGCUUGAAUUCUAGACAAGCUUUCAUACACACCUGACAUUUAUGUGGGUUUUAUGGACCUAGACUCAGGUCCGCAAGCUUGCAGCACAAGUCUUGCCCACUGAGAGACGUCCCGAUCUCUCUCUUUCUUCUUCUGAGCAGCUUGGGUGAGUACCCACACAAAUCCUACCCUCUCUCUUCUGGCCAUGGCUGCCAGAUCUGCAAAUAUAAAUUCAGGACAGCUAAGUAAAGUUGAAUUUUCAGCAAACAAUAAAACCCUGUCUAGCAGACUUAUGCCAUAUUUGAGACAUCCAGUCUUACUAAUAAAAACAAAAAGGUUUUAUUAUUAUGCUAACUCUAAAUGACAGUUGAUUUAUUGCUAAUUUGUAAAUUUUAGGUAUGUUUAAUUUUGUAGCUACAGUGACUAUUUUCAGCGGUGCUGAAAAGAAAAGAUAUCAGUACUGUUUUUCCAAGGUAGUUUUCUUGCUGGAAAUACAGCUCAAUGCUAAAGUACUUGCCUGCCUUGCAGAAAGUUGUGCAUAUGAAAAAUUAAUAAAGUAAAAGUGGACCAUUUCAAAUUAAGUUCAAGCUAUUUUCUAAUUUCUUUCCUUAACCUGAUUGGUCUCCUUUCUUAUGAUUUCUAUAAUGGUUUCCAGUCUCAAUAAAAAGAACUCGGGUGUCUCAGUUCACAUGUGCAUGGGAACGCUGUCUCACUUGCUCAUCUGGCUGCUGCCUGUGCGUCCUUUUGGAAUACCCCCCUCAUAAGCCACUGUCUCCAGCUUUUAAAUAUUUUAUAACGAUUUAUUCACUUUUAUCUUAUGGUGUAGUAUUUUGUGCACAUUUGUGUAUGUGAGUCACAUGUGUGCUUGUUAUCUGUGGAGUCCUAAAGGGCACUGGAUUCAUUGGAACUGGAGUUAGGUGGUUGAGAGCUCACUAUCAGGGCACUGGAAUCAAACCUAGGUUUCUACAAGAGCAGCAAGCACUCUUAACUGCUGACGGAGCCUUCUCUCCAGCUCAAAAUUCAGGUUUCUGGACACAACGUUUACCACACUCCCCUACUAUCCUGUGCUUUUAUUUGUCUGGUCUCGUUCGUUCUAUACCAUGUAAAUCCUAGCAUGUGUAUGUAUGUGCACUCGCAUGCGCUUCACUAUGCUUGUUACUCAAAAGACCAUAGAUUCCAUUCUCUUUAAUUUCUUCUCUUUAUUUAAAAGUCAUUUUAUUAUUUUUCAUUUAUGUGAAUGCAUACGUGCCUAUGUGGGCCAGUGGAAGCCAGGAGAAUUUCAGCCUCCCCUCAUUUCCUUCUUCCAGAGGAGUUACAGGUAGUUGUAGCUGCUUGAUGUGAAUCCUAGGAAUGACCUCAGAUUCCCUGGCAGAGACGCAAGGACUUUUAACCCCUGAGCCAUAUCUCCAGCCUCACCUCUUUCUCUUGGCAUAGCAUGAAUGAAAAACUUUAGGAGUUUCUAAUGUAUGGAAUAAUGAGCAUUUAUCUGACACAGAGACUGUCCAUCUCUGAAAACUGGGAAAUCUCCAUGCCAUGUUCUCCCUGGGCUCUCUCAGCACUGGGCUCUCUCAACCCCUUGGGAUGAUUUCACAGAUCCUACUAUCUAUUAAAAGUGUAUUUUAGAACAGUACUAGGCUUAUGAAGAUGUCAGCUUUAUCAGCCAACUGUUUUGUACAUUAGGGUCCUAGAACUGCUCAUAAUGUUACUAUGUUACUUCUUCAGCUCUGAAUAGAAAAAGCAGAAAAUAAGGUGGUUUGGUUUCCAAAGGUCUCCUAUGGUGUGCUGGUUAGUUACAAAAAAAAAAAUAAAAAUAAAAAAAAUAAAAAAAAUAAAUGCUUGAAUAUGAUGCUAUUACAAAAUAUAGCUAUUAUUUCAAAUGCGUGGUGGUGCCUUGGUAAUGGCUGGUAUGGUAAUUUCAUCCUAAAGUGUAGUUUUUCAAUGGCUUAUUUAACAUGAACUCCCAAUUUACACUGUUGACUGAAACUUCUCAAGCUUGUUUUCAUGCCCCGGGGGAGUUUCAUAAAUAGAUGAGAUAGAAAUCUCUUUAGCUGUCUUAUUGAAGCAUAGCAAAUAUAUAACACUCUCCCAACUAUUGAAAUUUGGGAAUAUUCCAGUGACAUGUACAUUUUUAAAUGCUUUCCAAUGCUUUAUCUUUCACAAAGGCAUUUUUUUUUUUCAGAAAAGACAGGCUGCUCAAUUUAACUCACUCUUCAGACAUUUAAAAUAGUUAAACAUAAAAUGUUACAAUUUUAAUCAUGAAAAAUGUUUUUUUUUCCUUUAAUUCAGCACGGCUUCUAUGGGAUCACUUUGUUAGGAUGAUGUUAAGGGAUGGUUAAUUUCACUUCUUUUCCUUUGCUAAAGGCUACUCUAAGUCUACACGCAGGCAGCUAAUAGGCCCUGUCUUUCAGACCUGUGUCCUUGAGCUCUUGUACAUGCUCUAUGUGUUCUUUCUUCUUACUCCAAUCACAUUCAGCUUUUCCUUACUCUCUUGCAUUCCCAAACUGCUGAUAAUCUGGCUAUUGCUGUUUUUGUCUGCCUUGUGGAAUUAUCACUCAUGAGAAUGUCAUAGAUAUUUCCACUCUCCCGCUUAGAUUUUCCAAGCCAGGGUCAUUUGUGAACAGAGAAUCUCAAUUGAGAAAAUGCCUCUAUCAGUCAAGCUUGUAGGCAAGGCUUCCCUAAGAGAUAGUCUGCCCUCAGCAACAAUGAACAGCCUACCAGCCACACCUUCUCCUGAAAAAUUGAUGACCACGCCGUUUUUUCAGGCCCCUGAGACCCUGUCCCCACAAGGCAAAGAGGCCAGCACAGCUCUCAUUGCAGUUGUUCUCGCCGUGGUAUUCCUUACCCUGCUCUCAGUGGUGACCUUGAUCUUCUUUUACCUGUACAAGAACAAAGGCAGCUACGUCACCUAUGAGCCUGCAGAAGGGGAGCCCAGCGCCAUCCUCCAGAUGGAGACUGACUCAGCCAAGGGCAAAGAGAAGGAAGAGUACUUCAUCUAAUGAUCCCCAUGCUGGAGGGGCCAAUUCCUGGCUCCAACACUAAGACACUGCCUCUGUAGUUUAGGGAACAUUUGCUCUAAAGCCAGAGAGUGGCACUGAGUGAUACAGGCACAUCCAUUCACCUCUCAGGACAUGGCCCCCAGUACCGGCCUCACCAACUCCAGGGUCCAGAGACAGGAAGAAAGCUGCAAACGACGCUGGGCCUUGGUAAGGACAGUGCUCGCAACCGACCAACAAAGUGGGGCCAUACCUGGGUUGGAAGUGAGGUUACAGGCUGGUCCACUUGUACCCUCCCUAGUUGACUAGCAAUAGCCCCAGUGUAGCAAUCCAGCCUUCCAGAAGGCUGGACACCACAGGCAGGGGUCGGGCCGGGGGAGAUAAUUCUGAGAAUGUUACUGCCUUUGUUUGAUCUGAGCCCCACUGUUCCCCCAUCAGCCUCAAACUUACACUAUUUUUAUCCAAAUUAAACUUAUUAUGAAAGUCAAAAAAAAAGGUCUGUGAGGUGCUCUCUUAAUUAAUGAUAGAUGGGGUGGUCUUCUCAUGAGCAGGGGUCUUCAGUUAUAUAUUGUAAAAGACUGAGCAAGCCAUGAGGAGCAAGCCUGUUAGUAACACUCCUCCAUAGCCUUUGUUUCAGUUCCUGUCUCCAGGUUCCAUCCCUUAGUUUCUACUCCAACUUCCUUUCAUGGUGGACUGGAAUCUUGAAGAACACACUUAAACUGAUUUGGAUUUUGAUCAUGGUGUUUAUCAGUGCAAUGGAAGGCAAAUUAGGAAAGACUUUAAAAAAAAUGAUUUCUCUUAGGAUGAAUGCUGUUUAAUUUCCUUAAAAUUUUAAAAUUCCUAAUUUUGGAAGAAUACAUGGUGCUCACUUAAUUCUAUCAUUCUAUAAGUAUUUCUAAUGGACUGAAAGUGGUUAUAUGUAGCCAAGACAGAAAGGAAGUGCUGUGGGAUAUGAAGAGGGUGGAAGACAUUUGUUCUGGUUCUGGAUUCAGAGCAGGAAGUGAUUUCAAAGCUGUUUUUAUUUCAGCAAUAACUAACGGCUUUGUAAGCCUCACUUUUUUUUCAGUUUUGUUUUGCUCAGUAGUCAUGUCUGUAGAUAUGUGAAUUGGUCCAUAUACAUGUAUGUGUGUGUGUGUGUUAUUUGUAUGUUGGUGCAUGCUAUUGCACAGAGGCCCAAGAUAUCAAGAAUCAUCUUUGAUCACUCAUCAUGUUCAUUGACACAAAUAUGCAAAACUCACAAUGUAUAUAAGUGUUCCAAUUUGCCUUAAAACUGUCAAUCUGUUAAGCCUAGAAGCACGGGCAAAGAGUCAGUCACAAUGGAGUAACAUUCUGCACCGGGUUUUCUUGUGGGCAAGUCUGUGAAGAACUGUUAAUUAUGCUAAUUAUUAUACAUAGAUCCAGCCUAGUGCAGGCUCUGCUGUCUAUUGCACAGCUGGUCCUGGGCUGUAUAAGGAAGCCAUUCAACCAUGAGCCAAUUAGUUAGC